AUUGAACGCUGGCGGCAGGCCUAACACAUGCAAGUCGCACGGAGUGGCGGACGGGUGCGUACUGUCUGGGAAACUGCCCGAUGGAGGGGGAUAACUACUGGAAACGGUAGCUAAUACCGCAUACCCUCAGAUGAGCCUAGGUCGGAUUAGCUAGUUGGUGGGGUAAAGGCCUACCAAGGCGACGAUCCGUCACUGGUCUGAGAGGAUGAUCAGUCACACUGGAACUAGGACACGUUCCAGACUCCUACGGGAGGCAGCAGUGGGGAAUAUUGGACAAUGGGCGAAAGCCUGAUCCAGCAAUGCCGCGUGUGUGAAGAAGGUCUUCGGAUUGUAAAGCACUUUAAGUUGGGAGGCGUUACCAACAGAAGAAGCACCGGCUAACAUCGUGCCAGCAGCCGCGGUAAUGC
rnacentral:rRNA from 1 species